AUUAAAAAUUAUCUCCGAUCCUAAUGUUCUGUUAGCCGCUGUGGUAUGAAUAUUAGGACGAUGGGUGCAGAGGGAAACUGAAGCGCCUCCCGCAUUGGAAAGGAGAUGAAUUAAGAUCGAU
rnacentral:ncRNA from 2 species